UACGGAAGGCAGCAGGGGGGAAUAUUGCACAAUGGGCGCAAGCCUGAUGCAGCCAUGCCGCGUGUAUGAAGAAGGCCUUCGGGUUGUAAAGUACUUUCAGUCGUGAGGAAGGUGUUAAGGUUAAUAACCUUAGCAAUUGACGUUAGCGACAGAAGAAGCACCGGCUAACUCCGUGCCAGCAGCCGCGGUAAUACGGAGGGUGCGAGCGUUAAUCGGAAUUACUGGGCGUAAAGGGCACGCAGGCGGUUAAUUAAGUUGGAUGUGAAAUCCCCGGGCUUAAACCUGGGAAUGGCAUUCAAGACUGGUUAGCUAGAGUCUUGUAGAGGGGGUAGAAUUCCAUGUGUAGCGGUGAAAUGCGUAGAGAUGUGGAGGAAUACCGGUGGCGAAGGCGGCCCCUGGACAAAGACUGACGCUCAUGUGCGAAAGCGUGGGGAGCAAAACAGGGAUUAGAUACC
rnacentral:rRNA from 1 species